GAGGGAAAGUUGCAAAGAACUUUGAAGAGAGAGUUCAAGAGGACGUGAAACCGCUUAGAAGGAAACAAGUAGAGGUGCGAGUGGCUCGGCCGAUUCAGGCAGUCGGCGGUGCGUGUAUGUGCGUCCGAUCGCAAGACGGAUGCAUGUGCUGCGUGCCGUUUGAUUGUUGCAUUUUGGCCGAGUAGCACCGGCGGCCGUACGGUGCCGGCGCUGCCCUGCAGUUGACGAUGCCGCUUCGGUGGUUGUCGGCUGUGGACGCAGCGCAUGUGUGCUGUACGGUUACAAGGGCGAACGCACAUGUGCGACGGUGGUCGCGACUGGUGCACGCUGGCCGACCUGCUUGCAGGAGAGCUGGUGUGUGCUGGUCGUUGGUUGCUUAGUCGCAUGUUUGUCCACGCUGGUGAACAAGUCACCGACCUACUUGACCCGUCUUGAAACACGGACCAAGGAGUCUAACAUGUACGCGAGUCGUAGGGUGCUAAAACCCGAAGGCGCAAUGAAAGUAAAGCUUGUCGACACAGGACCCUGUCUUUACGGCAGGAGCACUGUGGCCCCGUUCGCACUGCAUGUCAGUGGAGCGGCGGUAGAGCGUACACGUUGGGACCCGAAAGAUGGUGAACUAUGCCUGAGCAGGGCGAAGCCAGAGGAAACUCUGGUGGAGGCUCGAAACGGUUCUGACGUGCAAAUCGAUCGUCAGACUUGGGUAUAGGGGCGAAAGACUAAUCGAACCAUCUAGUAGCUG
rnacentral:rRNA from 1 species